rnacentral:rRNA from 1 species
UUCGCAAUGCCCGAAAGGGUGACGAAGCGACGCCGCGUGGGUGAGGAAGGCCUUCGGGUUGUAAAGCCCUGUCAGGAGUUAAGAAAUGUAAGUGCGUUAAUACCGCAUUUAUUUGACGAAGGCUCCAAAGGAAGUCACGGCUAACUCUGUGCCAGCAGCCGCGGUAAUACAGAGGUGGCAAGCGUUGUUCGGAAUUAUUGGGCGUAAAGAGCACGUAGGUGGGUUUGUAAGUCAGAUGUGAAAGCCUCCUGUUCAACGGGAGAAUUGCAUCUGAAACUGCGAAUCUUGAGUGUAGGAGGGGAGAAUGGAACUUCUGGUGGAGCGGUGAAAUGCGUAGAUAUCAGAAGGAACGCCGGCGGCGAAAGCGAUUCUCUGGCCUAUUACUGACACUCAGUGUGCGAAAGCUAGGGGAGCAAACGGGAUUAGAUACCCCGGUAGUCCUAGCCGUAAACGAUGGGCACUAAGUAGAGGGGUUUUA